AGCGGCGGAUGGGUGAGUAACACGUGGGGAACCUGCCCCUAAGUCUGGGAUACCAUUUGGAAACAGGUGCUAAUACCGGAUAAUAAAGCAGAUCGCAUGAUCAGCUUUUGAAAGGCGGCGUAAGCUGUCGCUAAGGGAUGGCCCCGCGGUGCAUUAGCUAGUUGGUAAGGUAACGGCUUACCAAGGCGACGAUGCAUAGCCGAGUUGAGAGACUGAUCGGCCACAUUGGGUCUGAGACACGGCCCAAACUCCUACGGGAGGCAGCAGUAGGGAAUCUUCCACAAUGGUCGCAAGUCUGAUGGAGCAACGCCGCGUGAGUGAAGAAGGUUUUCGGAUCGUAAAGCUCUGUUGUUGGUGAAGAAGGAUAGAGGUAGUAACUGGCCUUUAUUUGACGGUAAUCAACCAGAAAGUCACGGCUAACUACGUGCCAGCAGCCGCGGUAAUACGUAGGUGGCAAGCGUUGUCCGGACUUAUUGGGCGUAAAGCGAGCGCAGGCGGAAAAAUAAGUCUAAUGUGAAAGCCCUCGGCUUAACCGAGGAACUGCAUCGGAAACUGUUUUUCUUGAGUGCAGAAGAGGAGAGUGGAACUCCAUGUGUAGCGGUGGAAUGCGUAGAUAUAUGGAAGAACACCAGUGGCGAAAGGCGGCUCUCUGGUCUGCAACUGACGCUGAGGCUCGAAAGCAUGGGUAGCGAACAGGAUUAGAUACCCUGGUAGUCCAUGCCGUAACGAUGAGUGCUAAGUGU
rnacentral:rRNA from 1 species